rnacentral:tRNA from 1 species
GCGCCCAUCGCCCAAUGGAUAGGGCACCAGUCUUCGGAACUGGCUUUGGUGGUUCGACUCCACCUGGGCGCA